UACGUAGGGGGCAAGCGUUGUCCGGAAUCAUUGGGCGUAAAGCGCGUGUAGGCGGCUCGAUUAGUCCGCUCUGAAAUCCCUGGGCUCAACCCAGGAACUGCGUCCGAUACUGGUUGGCUUGAAUCCGGGAGAGGGAUGUGGAAUUCCAGGUGUAGCGGUGAAAUGCGUAGAUAUCUGGAGGAACACCGGUGGCGAAGGCGACAUCCUGGACCGGUAUUGACGCUGAGGCGCGAAAGCCAGGGGAGCAAACGGGG
rnacentral:rRNA from 1 species